CUGCUGUCCACUAAGUCAGCUGAGGCAGGAAUCUAGAGCACAUUACAAACCCUGCACCAGAGAUGCUUCAGAAGAAUUGAUUCACUGGCCAGAAGACCUCUUCCAACAAACAGACCUCAUCGACCAAAGUAAACUGUUUUUCUUUGGCAGGUUUUAAAUAUGGACUUCUGUGGUAGACUUGGCUACAUAUUAUUUUCUGAAGUUAUCAGAUGGAUAUGCCUCCUCUCAAGCAUUACUUUCUUCCAGCAAAACACUUCAUGGAAGUAAUGCUGGUCCUAGAUGUAACUCUGCUAGGAAUAAAAGAAACUUCACUGCAAUUGAAGUGCGUUGAUUUCAGUCCACAAACCUUUCCUGAAGAACUUCCAACCUAAAACUGGAGAUAGAAACAGCAAGAUGACAGGGACACUAAUUAAGGUACAUAUGUCUUCAAAUGGGUCCAUUUAUUUAGCCGACUCAAAUUUCUUAGCUCGGUGUCACUGAUGCAGUGGAAGAAAGCUUUUAGAAGGGAAUGAGGCUAGUGAGGUGAAAUGGUGUAGUCCAUGCAGUGAAACAACACUGAACAGUAUUUGGAAUCGAGGUUGGAGAAGAACCCAGACAUGCCCCAAUUCACACUUCCUAACUCAUAUCUACUUAGAAAAAGCGAGUUUGUUACAAGUUUAUCAGAGUAGGGAACUCAAGGACAAACUCUUCAGUGGGUGGCUUGAAAGAAAGGAAGCAAGCUACUUGAGUGCUAUGUAAUGUAAUGAACAAAAAUGAACAGCUAAUUCAUCUUUGAAACAUCCAACUUUCACAGAAACAUCAGUAUUGACAAAAAGAUUGUUAUAAUUUAGGUACAACAUAGGGGAUAAUUUCAUGUUCAGAAGCAAAAGAAUGU